CAGGCACGAAACCUUCACAAUGCACGCAAGUGCGAUGGGGGGACUCCGAGUGUAGUCUCCUCACAAAGGAGGCUACUUUUCUGUACUGUAAGGAGGUACAGGAACAAGGGGUGGGCAAGACGGCUGCCAGCCGCCGCGGUAAUAGCCGCACCCCGAGUGGUGACCAGUAUUAUUGGGCUUAAAGUGUUCGUAGCCGGAUCUGCAAGUCCGCUGUGAAAUCCAAGCGCUCAACGUUUGGAAAUGCAGUGGAUACUGCAGGUCUAGGGACCGGACGGCGUCGAGGCUAUUCCAUGGGUAGGAGUGAAAUCCUAAAAUCCAUGGAGGAGCACCUGUGGCGAAAGCGCUCGGCGAGUACGGAUCCGACGGUGAGGAACGAAAGCUAGGGGAGCAAAGCGGAUUA
rnacentral:rRNA from 1 species